rnacentral:rRNA from 1 species
UACGUAGGAGGCGAGCGUUGUCCGGAAUUACUGGGCGUAAAGAGCGCGUAGGCGGCGCGGUACGACCGCUGUGAAAGCCCCCAGCUCAACUGGGGAGGGUCAGCGGUAACGGCCGUGCUUUGAGUGCAGGAGAGGGAAGUGGAACUCCGGGAGUAGCGGUGAAAUGCGUAGAGACCCGGAGGAACACCAGUGGCGAAGGCGGCUUCCUGGUCUGCGACUGACGCUGUGGCGCGGAAGCUAGGGGAGCAAACGGG